GUGGUUAUUUCAGCAGCACAUACACUAAUAUUGGAACAAUACGUAGAAGAUUAGAAUAGACUCUACGUAAGAAUGACAUGCAAAUUCUUGAAGCAUUUCAUAUUGUC
ensembl:snRNA U6 U6 spliceosomal RNA